rnacentral:misc_RNA from 1 species
GUGAAUCAUCAAAUUUUUGAACGCAAAUUGCACUCUCUGGUAUUCCGAAGAGUAUGCCUUUCUGAGGGUCAUUUUAAAUAAAAAUCUGUGUGGUUUCUGCCUUUCUUUGUUACUCACCGGAUUUGGGUCGUCUUGCCUUCGGUUAAUUGACCUAAACUUUUUCAUGAUUUUUUUCGAACGUAUUUAAAUUAUUUUACGUACGUUUGCGAUCUCGAAUACUUGGUGUGGUCUU